rnacentral:rRNA from 1 species
UACUCCUACGGGAGGCAGCAGUGGGGAAUUUUGGACAAUGGGCGAAAGCCUGAUCCAGCAAUGCCGCGUGUGUGAAGAAGGCCUUCGGGUUGUAAAGCACUUUUGUCCGGAAAGAAAUCCUUGGCUCUAAUACAGUCGGGGGAUGACGGUACCGGAAGAAUAAGCACCGGCUAACUACGUGCCAGCAGCCGCGGUAAUACGUAGGGUGCAAGCGUUAAUCGGAAUUACUGGGCGUAAAGCAUGCGCAGGCGGUUUGCUAAGACCGAUGUGAAAUCCCCGGGCUCAACCUGGGAACUGCAUUGGUGACUGGCAGGCUAGAGUAUGGCAGAGGGGGGUAGAAUUCCACGUGUAGCAGUGAAAUGCGUAGAGAUGUGGAGGAAUACCGAUGGCGAAGGCAGCCCCCUGGGCCAAUACUGACGCUCAUGCACGAAAGCGUGGGGAGCAAACAGGAUUAGAUACCCUGGUAGUCCACGCCCUAAACGAUGUCAACUAGUUGUUGGGGAUUCAUUUCCUUAGUAACGUAGCUAACGCGUGAAGUUGACCGCCUGGGGAGUACGGUCGCAAGAUUAAAACUCAAAGGAAUUGACGGA